UGCGUGGUGUGUGAUGUAUGUGGUGUGUGAUGUGUGGCGUGUGGUAUGAGUUGUGUGGUGUCUGUAGUGUGUGAUGUGUGUGUGGUGUAUUGUGUAUGUGGUGUGUGAUGUGUGGCGUGUGGUAUGAGUUGUGUGGUAUCUGUGGUGUGUGAUGUGUGUGUUGUGUGGUAUCUGUGGUGUGAGAUGCACGUGGUGUGUGAUGUGUGGCAUGUGGUAUGAGUUGUGUGGUAUCUGUGGUGUGUGAUGUGUGUGUUGUGUGGUAUCUGUGGUGUGUGAUGCACUUGGUGUGUGGGGUGUGGCGUGUGGUAUGAGUUGUGUGGAAUCUGUGGUGUGUCAUGUGUGUGUGGUGUAUUGUGUAUGUGGUGUGUGAUGUGUGGCGUGUGGUAUGAGUUGUGUGGUGUCUGUGGUGUGUGAUGUGUGUGUGGUGUAUUGUGUAUGUGGUGUGUGAUGUGUGGCGUGUGGUAUGAGUUGUGUGGUGUCUGUGGUGUGUGAUAUGCGGUGUAUUGUGUAUGUGGUGUGUGAUGUGUGGCGUGUGGUAGGAGUUGUGUGGUAUCUGUGGUGUGUGAUGUGUGUGUUGUGUGUGUGGUGUGUGAUGCACUUGGUGUGUGGGGUGUGGCGUGUGGUAUGAGUUGUGUGGUAUCUGUGGUGUGUGAUGCACGUGGUGUGUGGGGUGUGGCGUGUGGUAUGAGUUGUGUGGAAUCUGUGGUGUGUCAUGUGUGUGUGCAAAGCUUCAGUUUACCAGUCGGUAGGGUGGCAUGAGGUCCCCCUGUUUACGGGGCUUCUUGAAUUUGGGAUGGGAGGAGGUGUGAAGGCAGCUGUGGGCGCACCAGCUGGAGCGCGGCGGCUUUCACCAGCCUUGAGGCUGAUCCUCCUCCUGACCCGGCGCGGUGGGGCUGGGUCCCAGGCUGGCUCCCCGC
rnacentral:lncRNA from 1 species